AGUUCACGUACGAGGGCGACGCGACGUGCGCCGCGGAUGGCAUGUGCCAGGUGAAGUGCCCCGUCGGCAUCAACACCGGCGAGCUCGUCAAGUCGAUCCGCGAGCGCGACCUGAAGAAGCAGUCCACGGCGACGUCGGGCGCCAACGCGCUCGCGAGGAACUUUGCCACGUUCCAGAGCGUCGUGCCCACGUUCCUGAACCUCGUGUCCGCCGCGCACGGCGUCCUCGGCGGCGGCGUGCUGAAGAGCGUCUCCGGCGCGUUGAACAAGGUUUCCGGGAACUUGAUCCCGGUGUGGAACGAGCACAUGCCCACGGGCGCGCCGUCGCUGCCGGCGCCGAACAUGCCGUCGUCGAGCGCGACGCAGCGCGCGGGGGUCCCUCGCAAGGUUGUCUACCUCCCAUCCUGCGUCACGAGGAUGAUGGGCCCGGCGAAGGGCGACUCUGCGUCCAUCGGCGGCGUCCCGGACGCGAUGAUGAGCAUCCUGAAAAAGGCGGAUUACGAGGUUGUGUACCCGGAGUCGCUCUCGUCGCAGUGCUGCGGCAUGCUCUUCAACUCCAGGGGGUUCAAAGCCACCGCCAGCGGCAAGGGCGAUGAC
rnacentral:lncRNA from 1 species